rfam:Pan troglodytes isolate Yerkes chimp pedigree #C0471 (Clint) chromosome 5, whole genome shotgun sequence.
GCCGGGCAUGGGGGCUCAUGCCUGUAAUCCUAGAACUUUGGGAGGCUGAGAUGGGUGGAUCACCUGAGGUCAGGAGUUCGAGACCAGCCUGGCCAACAUGGUGAAACCCCAUCUCUA